rnacentral:rRNA from 1 species
UCCGUAGGCGGGUAAUUAAGUCAGAGAUGAAAUCCCACAGCUUAACUGUGGAACUGCCUUAGAUACUGGUUAUCUUGAGUUUUAGUGAAGUAGAUAGAAUGUGUAGUGUAGCGGUGAAAUGCAUAGAUAUUACACAGAAUACCGAUUGCGAAGGCAGUCUACUAACUAACAACUGACGCUAAUGGACGAAAGCGUGGGGGACUAACAGGAUUAGAUACCCUGGUAGUCC